rnacentral:rRNA from 1 species
CCUACGUGGUGCAGCAGUGGGGAAUAUUGCGCAAUGGGCGAAAGCCUGACGCAGCGACGCCGCGUGAGGGAUGAAGGUCUUCGGAUCGUAAACCUCUGUCAGCAGGGAAGAACGGUCACUGUGCUAAUCAGCAGUGAAUUGACGGUACCUGCAAAGGAAGCACCGGCUAACUCCGUGCCAGCAGCCGCGGUAAUACGGAGGGUGCGAGCGUUAAUCGGAAUUACUGGGCGUAAAGCGCUCGUAGGCGGUAUGUCAAGUCAAGGGUGAAAUCCCCGCGCUCAACGUGGGAACUGCCUUUGAAACUGGCAAACUGGAGUGUGGGAGAGGAUAGUGGAAUUCCAGGUGUAGGAGUGAAAUCCGUAGAUAUCUGGAGGAACAUCAGUGGCGAAGGCGACUAUCUGGCACAUAACUGACGCUGAGGAGCGAAAGCGUGGGUAGCAAACAGGAUUAGAUACCCCAGUAGUC